GGGGAUGUGGCUUAGUGGCAGAGUGCUUGCCUAGCAUGCAUGAGACCCUGGGUUCAAUCCCCAGCACUGCCA
rnacentral:tRNA from 1 species